GACGAACGCUGGCGGCGUGCUUAACACAUGCAAGUCGAACGGAAAGGCCCUGCUUUUGUGGGGUGCUCGAGUGGCGAACGGGUGAGUAACACGUGAGUAACCUGCCCUUGACUUUGGGAUAACUUCAGGAAACUGGGGCUAAUACCGGAUAGGAGCUCCUGCUGCAUGGUGGGGGUUGGAAAGUUUCGGCGGUUGGGGAUGGACUCGCGGUUUAUCAGCUUGUUGGUGGGGUAGUGGCUUACCAAGGCUUUGACGGGUAGCCGGCCUGAGAGGGUGACCGGCCACAUUGGGACUGAGAUACGGCCCAGAAUCCAACGGGAGGCAGCAGUGGGGAAUAUUGCACAAUGGGCGGAAGCCUGAUGCAGCAACGCCGCGUGCGGGAUGACGGCCUUCGGGUUGUAAACCGCUUGCGCCUGUGACGAAGCGUGAGUGACGGUAAUGGGUAAAGAAGCACCGGCUAACUACGUG
rnacentral:rRNA from 1 species